rnacentral:rRNA from 1 species
GCAAGUCGAGCGGUAACAGAAAGUAGCUUGCUACUUUGCUGACGAGCGGCGGACGGGUGAGUAAUGCUUGGGAACAUGCCUUGAGGUGGGGGACAACAGUUGGAAACGACUGCUAAUACCGCAUAAUGUCUACGGAACAAAGGGGGCUUCAGCUCUUGCCCUUAGAUUGGCCCAAGUGAGAUUAGCUAGUUGGUGAGGUAAUGGCUCACCAAGGCGACGAUCCCUAGCUGGUUUGAGAGGAUGAUC